rnacentral:lncRNA from 1 species
AAUUAUGUCAAGGCAACAGCUCCACCACCUCUAUCCAAGGCUCCAGCGCCGCCGCCUCUUGUGGCCAAACCACCCACUCCACCAAUUGCCAAGCCGCCAACUCCACCACUUACCAAGCCAUCACCACCAAUUCACAAGCUCCCUACUCCUCCUUGCCCCCACCACCCCCACAGCCACCAAGCCACCAACUCCACCACUUACCAAGCCAUCACCACCAAUUCACAAGCUCCCUACUCCUCCCCUUGCCAAGCCACCAACUCCACCACUUACCAAGCCACCAACUCCACCACUUACCAAGCCAUCACCACCAAUUUACAAGCCACCUGCUCCUCCACUUACCAAGCCACCAUCUCCUCCGCUUGCCAAGCCACCAUCUCCUCCGUAUACCAAGCCAACUCCUGUCAUCCCACCAGUGAAGCCACCAACUCCGGUCAUCCCCCCAGUGAAUCCACCAAGUCCUGUCAGUCCCCCAGUGAAGCCACCCACUUAUCCACCGCUUCCCCCGGUUAGGUCCAAAGCAGGUAAAUAUUCUUCUCACUGCCAUAGAGAAGUGAAAUUUAUGUCCAUUACUAAUCUAAGUAAACCCUUAACCUUAUACUCAUUACAAAAUGAUAUACGUUCUAUAUUCCCCAUUAUAUUUUGG